GCGCCUGCGUCUGCGCCUGCGCCGGGGUCGCCGGGAGCCCGGGGCGCUCUCUGCGCGCGUCCUCGCCGACACAGCUUCGGUCGGGUUCGUGGCUCCUGUCCCUGUCCUAGCGACGUGCGUGCCAGCAUUAGUCACUUAGAGGUGAGGAAACAGGCCCCAAAACAUCAAGUUACGUGCUUGAAGUCACACAGAAGGCAGCAAAUCCAGCUCUGUCUGGACACAGCUACGCCCCGGGUCUCUCGGAUCAGCCCCGGGUUUGCAUUCCAGGUAACAGGUGGGACGAGGGAACUGAGAGGCGGAGCCCCUCCUCUCGGGGCAGCGGGGGCUGCUCUGCUCCUGGCUGCUGCUCGCUUUGGCCCAAGGGUGUCGUCGAGGUAUUUUUCUCCGUGCGUAUCACGGAGUGAGCAAAGUCGGGAAGCGUUUCGCAGACCUUCUGCCCCUACUCUCAAACCAUAUGCUGGGAUCCAUCCAGGACACCUAACGUAAGAGAGUUGUUGGAGGAUUAAAUAAGACCGUGUUUGCACGGGGGCCGGCACCUCGAGGAUCCUCAGUACCUGUUAAUUGUCUCUUCUUUUUUUGCAGCGUCCCCGGGGACAUCUGGGCACCCCCCCUUCUAACACUGCAGAGGGGACGCAGUCAUUUUAGCAUCAGAAAGAAGAAAAGGAUUGAAAUCCCACACCAAGUAAACCAUUGUUGACAACGUAGAGCCUUAAAUAUUUUAUUAUUCACGAGAGACACAGAGAGAGAGAGGCAGAGACACAGGCA